GAUGAACGCUGGCGGCGUGCCUAAUACAUGCAAGUCGAGCGAAUGGAUUAAGAGCUUGCUCUUAUGAAGUUAGCGGCGGACGGGUGAGUAACACGUGGGUAACCUGCCCAUAAGACUGGGAUAACUCCGGGAAACCGGGGCUAAUACCGGAUAACAUUUUGAACCGCAUGGUUCGAAAUUGAAAGGCGGCUUCGGCUGUCACUUAUGGAUGGACCCGCGUCGCAUUAGCUAGUUGGUGAGGUAACGGCUCACCAAGGCAACGAUGCGUAGCCGACCUGAGAGGGUUAUCGGCCACACUGGGACUGGGACACGGCCCAGACUCCUACGGGAGGCAGCAGUAGGGAAUCUUCCGCAAUGGACGGAAGUCUGACGGAGCAACGCCGCGUGAGUGAUGAAGGCUUUCGGGUCGUAAAACUCUGUUGUUAGGGAAGAACAAGUGCUAGUUGAAUAAGCUGACACCUUGACGGUACCUAACCAGAAAGCCACGGCUAACUACGUGCCAGCAGCCGCAGUAA
rnacentral:rRNA from 1 species